AGUGAACGCUGGCGGUAGGCCUAACACAUGCAAGUCGAACGGCAGCACAGUAAGAGCUUGCUCUUACGGGUGGCGAGUGGCGGACGGGUGAGGAAUACAUCGGAAUCUACUUUUUCGUGGGGGAUAACGUAGGGAAACUUACGCUAAUACCGCAUACGACCUACGGGUGAAAGCAGGGGAUCUUCGGACCUUGCGCGAUUGAAUGAGCCGAUGUCGGAUUAGCUAGUUGGCGGGGUAAAGGCCCACCAAGGCGACGAUCCGUAGCUGGUCUGAGAGGAUGAUCGGCCACACUGGAACUGAGACACGGUCCAGACUCCUACGGGAGGCAGCAGUGGGGAAUAUUGGACAAUGGGCGCAAGCCUGAUCCAGCCAUACCGCGUGGGUGAAGAAGGCCUUCGGGUUGUAAAGCCCUUUUGUUGGGAAAGAAAAGCAGCAGGUUAAUACCCCGCUGUUCUGACGGUACCCAACGAAUAAGCACCGGCUAACUUCGUG
rnacentral:rRNA from 1 species